GAUGAACGCUGGCGGCGUGCCUAAUACAUGCAAGUCGAGCGAACGGACGAGAAGCUUGCUUCUCUGAUGUUAGCGGCGGACGGGUGAGUAACACGUGGAUAACCUACCUAUAAGACUGGGAUAACUUCGGGAAACCGGAGCUAAUACCGGAUAAUAUUUUGAACCGCAUGGUUCAAAAGUGAAAGACGGUCUUGCUGUCACUUAUAGAUGGAUCCGCGCUGCAUUAGCUAGUUGGUAAGGUAACGGCUUACCAAGGCAACGAUGCAUAGCCGACCUGAGAGGGUGAUCGGCCACACUGGAACGGAGACACGGUCCAGACUCCUACGGGAGGCAGCAGUAGGGAAUCUUCCGCAAUAGGCGAAAGCCUGACGGAGCAACGCCGCGUGAGUGAUGAAGGUCUUCGGAUCGUAAAACUCUGUUAUUAGGGAAGAACAUAUGUGUAAGUAACUGUGCACAUCUUGACGGUACCUAAUCAGAAAGCCACGGCUAACUACGUG
rnacentral:rRNA from 1 species